CCCUUAGAUGUUCUGGGCCGCACGCGCGCUACACUGAUGCAUUCAACGAGUCUAAAACCUGCUCUGAUAGGGGUGGGUAAUCUUUUGAAUGUGCAUCGUGAUUGGGAUAGAUGAUUGCAAUUUUUCAUCUUCAACGAGGAAUGCCUAGUAAACGCAAGACAUCAGCUUGCAUUGAUUACGUCCCUGCCCUUUGUACACACCGCCCGUCGCUCCUACCGAUUGAAUGAUCCGAUGAAUAUCAUGGAUUGAGGAUUAUAGCAGGUUCGCCUGUCUUGAUCUUCGAGAAGUGAAGUAAAUCUUAUCAUUUAGAGGAAGGAGAAGUCGUAACA
rnacentral:rRNA from 1 species